rnacentral:lncRNA from 1 species
GGAUGCUUAAUGUGAUAGUUUGUUUUCAUCACUCUUAUUUCAUAACAGUAGCAAGCAAUAUAAAGGCCUUUAGUCCUACCAGCUUUUACUUUCAUCAGCUUUUGCUAUGGAGGCAAUUCUUUUGCUUGAACUGAAAACAGUCUUUAUUGUGGAAUGGUUAGGCUUUAUACGAAAAUCUUGUGGGGACAUGACUGUAGUUUUGACUUGCUGGUUCUUCUUGGAUUGAGUCAAUUCCUUACUCCCUAUAAGAUUCAAAGAAACUUAGAAAUAUCACCAAAAUUUUCCCCUGAGCAUUUGUAUUUAUUUAAACCCCACCAAGAAAAUUCUAUUUGGAACCAAUCCAAGCCCCAUCCGUUUAAUAAGAAAAGUGCAAGAAGUCUGACCGUGUGCGUUUGCUGAAGGAAGGAGCUACUUUGGUCCAAGUGCAAAGCAGCUGUUUUAGUGCAAGUGCAAGAAGCUUUAAACAGCAGUACCAAGGAAAGAUCCCAUUUUUGCCCAAAUGAAAAGAGUCUUUACCAUUAUAUGAUAUAACUAUUGUAGAAUCCUUCAAAACAUAGCAUUUACCCAAUUGUAAGAUAUAACUCUUUGGACUGGGGGUACCUUAAGAUCAUGGCUUGAUCAGACUAGGCGAAUUAAGAUUUCAAUAGGAGGCACUGAGAUUUCUACAUUUGUAGUGCAUGGGUACUCUCAAUGGUAAGGAGGAAUUAUAACAAAUAGUGGAAAUUUUGAGAUUGUGCUGGAGUGGUGGUGUUUUACUUCUUCUAUGUAUAAUGUGAAGUGAUGGUAAAUGCUUAUGAGUGACCAUUGAGAGAGAAUUAUUUGAGUU